CAUCAGUCUACCUGUCAACACGUGCGACUCCAGUGCUACUGUUAUCAGCUGCAGGGACGCCCCAGCACUACUGUUAUCAGCUGCUGGGAUGCUCCACGUCGCCUCAACUUCAUAGCACACCGGACUUGGGGAGUUGUUGAAGGAUUUAUAUUCUGGUCGGUAGAAAUUCAUUCAAGAGUGGUUAUCGUGUCAUCGUGUGUGACGGACUGGCUUGCUUUUGCAUUGGUGAAUAAAUGAGGCCUUAAAAACAUAUUAUUAUUUCUGCUGCACGUAAUAAUUUAUAGAGCUUGAUACGCCUGGACACCAAUGGUUUCAUUGCUUUCCAAUCAUUUUCCCCCUCUCACCCUUCUACUGUAUCCCUCCCCUCUUCUCUUCCCCUGCCUCUCUCUCUCUCUCCCCCCCCCCUCUCGCUCUUCUCUCCCCUGCCUCUCUCCCUCCUCCAGGCCGUAGCGUAACCAGUAGCUGAUAGCAUCUUCUCUGGAGUCUGCUGCCGUCUGCCUCAGCCUCAGACAAAGUGCCUCCAUCAGACCAAUGAGGCUCCAUGGGAACCUAGCUGCCGGCCCCCGGGCCCCUCCGUUGAGCGAGCUCUUGUGCUGUGUAAACUGGUAGAUGUGGAGAUGAGCUGCUGAUAGGUCUGCUGUAGGCUAUAGAAAGUCCUCACAUGUAAUGCACAUGCAUAUAUAUAUUUUAUAUAUUUCAUGAACAUAUAUUUUGUUAGGAUGCAUAUUUAUGUAAUAGAAUCGUGUAUACCAAGCAUAUCGUAUUUAUGAUGUGUAUAUACUGUAUGUGUGUUAUAUAUGAGUUUAUAUUAUUAAAGAAAUAUACAUUUAAAGUAUUUAUGCAUAUAUGAAAGUCUUCAAAAAGUCUACAAAAAACAGACAAAAAAAAACUGAGACACACAAUCCUGAAGUUGCAAUCACUUCAUAUCAGCCCAGGCAUCAGGGAACACUUGAAAACGUUCAGCCUUGACUUUCAUCACAACUAGAGAGAGAGGGCAAAAAAUGCUGCUU
ensembl:lncRNA